rnacentral:tRNA from 1 species
AGCGAUUUAGGUACUAAAACCAAGG